rnacentral:tRNA from 1 species
GGGGUUGUGGCUCAAUGGUAGAGCACUUGCUUGGCAAGUGUGAGGCAACUGGGUUCAAUCCUCAGCACCA